CUCCCGGAAUUGACACCUGCCCGCGCGGAGUUCCUCACGGAAAUGUUGAGUUAUUCCGCCGCCUGCAGGGCCGCCGGACGCUUCUGCUUCGGCGCGAUCCAGAACAUGGCAGGCCGCUCGAACAGGAAAUUGAGCCCGGCGCGUUUGGCGCCCCACCACAUCAGGAGCGCACCGACCACACCCGCAAUGGUGUCGAUCAGCGAGACAAGGCCGAUGUCGGGGAUGAUGCCGGUCUUGAGCAGCACCAC
rnacentral:misc_RNA from 1 species